GAGAGGGUUGGAGAAUGAAGUCCUCUGGUCAGCAGCAGGCCAGGUACAGCACAUGCAGCGGCAGUGCAAUGUUAGUCUUUAAGGUGCCACCAGACUCCUCCUUGUUUUUGUGGAUACAGACUAACAUGGCUACCCCUCUGAUACUAUGUCUCCAGGGUGAAAGGGUAGUUCAGUCUCCAAGCCAACUCCCUACUUGACAUUU
ensembl:misc_RNA